rnacentral:rRNA from 1 species
GACGAACGCUGGCGGCGUGCUUAACACAUGCAAGUCGAACGGAAAGGCCCUGCUUUUGUGGGGUGCUCGAGUGGCGAACGGGUGAGUAACACGUGAGUAACCUGCCCUUGACUUUGGGAUAACUUCAGGAAACUGGGGCUAAUACCGGAUAGGAGCUCCUGCUGCAUGGUGGGGGUUGGAAAGUUUCGGCGGUUGGGGAUGGACUCGCGGCUUAUCAGCUUGUUGGUGGGGUAGUGGCUUACCAAGGCUUUGACGGGUAGCCGGCCUGAGAGGGUGACCGGCCACAUGGGGACUGAGAGACGGCCCAGACUCCUACGGGAGGCAGCAGGGGGGAAUAUUGCACAAUGGGCGGAAGCCUGAUGCAGCAACGCCGCGUGCGGGAUAACGGCCUUCGGGUUGUAAACCGCUUUCGCCUGUGACGAAGCGUGAGUGACGGUAAUGGGUAAAGAAGCACCGGCUAACUACGUG